GACUCUGAGCAGUGGAUCACUCAGCUCGUGUGUCAAUGAAGAAUGCAGUUAGCUGUGAGAAAUAAUGUGAAUUGCAGGACACAUUGAUCAUUGACACUUUGAAUGCACUUUGCAACCCUGGGUUACUCCCGAGGCUAAACCUGCCUGAGGGUCG